UGCCUCAGUAGCGGCGARGCGAAGCGGCAACAGCUCAGAAUUUGAAAUCUGGCCCCCUCCGCGGGGGUCCGAGUUGUAAUCUGCAGAGGAUGCUUCUGGCGAGGCGGCGGCCUAAGUCCCCUGGAACGGGGUGCCGUAGAGGGUGAGAGCCCCGUGAGGUCGCCCGCCGAGCCUCUGUGAAGCUCCUUCGACGAAGUCGAGUAGUUUGGGAAUGCUGCUCAAAACGGGAGGUAUACUCCUUCUAAAGCUAAAUACAGGCCGGAGACCGAUAGCGCACAAGUAGCGUGAGCGAAAGAUGAAAAGCACUUUGGAAAGAGAGUGAAACAGCACGUGAAACUGUUGAGGGGGAAGCGCUCUCGGCCAGAACUUGCGCCUGGCGGAUCACCUGGGGCUCUGCCCCGGGGCACUCCGCCUGGCGCAGGCCAGCGUCGGUUCUCGCGGCGGGAUAAAGGCGCCGGGAAUGUGGCUCCCCUCGGGGAGUGUUAUAGCCCGCGCGCGCAAUGCCGCCGCCGGGGACCGAGGUCCGCGCCCUCGUGGCUAGGACGCUGGCAUAAUGGCCGUCAGUGACCCGUCUUGAAACACGGACCAAGGAGUCAAGCAUUGCUGCGAGUGCUAGGGUGUCAAACCCGUGCGCGCAGUGAAAGCAAACGCAGGAGGGAGCCUCGGCGCACCUCCGACCGAUCCUGAUGUACUCGGAUGGGAUUUGAGUAGGAGCAGUUAUGCUUGGACCCGAAAGAUGGUGAACUUUGCGUGGAUAGGGUGAAGCCAGAGGAAACUCUGGUGGAGGCUCGCAGCGGUUCUGACGUGCAAAUCGAUCGUCAAAUCUGC
rnacentral:rRNA from 1 species